CCAAUAGCGUAUAUUAAAGUUGUUGCAGUUAAAAAGCUCGUAGUUGAAUUUCGGGAUUCAUCCGUUGGUCGGGCUUCACGGUCCGCACUGGUGUGAUGGGUUCCUACCUUCUGAAUAACCGGCAUGCCAUUAAUUUGGUGCGCCGGGGAAGCAGAACUAUUACCUUGAAAAAAUUAGAGUGCUUAAAGCAGGCAAGUGCCUGAAUAGGUUAGCAUGGAAUAAUAAAAUAGGACGGCAUGGUUCUAUUUUGUUGGUUUCUAGGAUCACCGUAAUGAUUAAUAGGGAUAGUUGGGGGCAUUAGUAUUCAAUUGUCAGAGGUGAAAUUCUUGGAUUUAUUGAAGACUAACUUCUGCGAAAGCAUUUGCCAAGGAUGUUUUCAUUAAUCAAGAACGAAAGUUAGGGGAUCGAAGACGAUCAGAUACCGUCGUAGUCUUAACCAUAAACUAUGCCGACUAGGGAUCGGACGAUGUUAAUUUUUUAAUGACUCGUUCGGCGCCUUACG
rnacentral:misc_RNA from 1 species